GAUGAACGCUGGCGGCGUGCUUAAUACAUGCAAGUCGAACGGAAAGACGCUGCGUUUGCUGGGCGGACGUGAGGCGCGCGGGUGAGUAACACGCGUGUAUAAUGCCCCUGUAAGUGGGAGAACUUCUGGGAACUGGGGCUAAUACCGGAUAGAAUCUCUUGCUGCACGGGGGGGGUUGGAAAGUUUCGGCGGUUGGGGAUGGAUUCGCUGCUUAUCAGCUUGUUGGUGGGGUAGUGGCGUACCAAGGCUUUGACGGGUAGCCGGCCUGAGAGGGUGACCGGCCACCUUGGGACUGAGAUACGGACCAGACGCCUACGGGAGGCAGCAGUCGGGAAUAUUGCACAAUGGGCGGACGCCUGAUGCAGCAGCGCCGCGUGCGGGAUGACGGCCUUCGAGUUGUAAACCGCUGUCGCCGGUGACGAAGCGUGAGUGACGGUAAUGGGUAAAGAAGCACCGGCUAACUACGUG
rnacentral:rRNA from 1 species